AUGGGUAGGGAGCCAAACCACCCAGAGAGAGAAAUUGGUGUUAGAGUUGGCUGUAGAUGGAGAAGGAGACCCAGAGCUUGGGUAGUGGGCCCUCAGAACUCAGCCUGCUUCUGAGAAGCUCCUCCAUGUAGAAGCUGAGGUUCAAAUCUCAGACAUCCUGGGACUUUAUCCUGUUACCUCCUGCUGUUCUAGUGAAUUGUGUACUGUGGGUCACUUGCUCUGAUCAAAGACCUUUUCCAUCUUUCUCUGAUCAUUGAAGACCUGUUCCAACCAAGCCUAAGGAACUAAAGUCAGGGACUCCUUCUUCCCCAAAUAAAGCCACUUCUUUCAUA